GUGUUAAUCUCAUUCCGUAGCUUCUUCCCCCCAGUAAGCCACCCCACACACUGUUGGAGCAUCUGUCCAGCUGGACGCUUCCUAUUGAAGAUGUGCCAAGCAGAGCUGGGCAGACCUGUGCUUCUAUGCAAUUGCAGGGGCAGAUUCUGCUUGAAGAAAAUUGCAGAUGUGGUUCUGUGUGGUCUGAGAAUCUCAGCUGAUGGCCUCCUGAGGAAGGAAGAGUGUCACAUCUCCAGUCGAGAGCUGAAGUAUUGCAGGACUGCUCUGCAGAGCAAGCACACAAGCAGCUCACCUUCUACUGGGGAAAACAGAACAAGUACCAGAAAUUCCAGAGCAUCAUGUGAACUCUCCUCCACAUUCCACAGAAAAAAUCAAAACAACAAAACAAAACAACCCCUCCCCCCCAACACCCCCAACAACUAG
rnacentral:lncRNA from 1 species